AGCUAGACCACAACAUGUCUUAGUUUUGGGCCCCAUGAGAGCAGGACCUGAGGCCCAGACUUCGGGGCCGGAUGUUUAUUUGGCGGUGAUUGCCGGAAGCAGCAGUGAGGGCUCAGAGACAGGGCAUCAGGGAAGGAAGACGAUCCCAGUGAAGGGGGUGACAUCGGUCUGGUUACCACUGUGGGCCACUGGGGUGCAACACCGCUGGGGAGCUUCUGAGGGGCAGUGUGGAAUACGUCUCAGCUUUGAGAAAACCCUGACGCAGGAAAGCGGGGAGACACCCACUUACGGGAUGUGGCCGCCAGCAAGAUGAGGACACCGAGGCUCGGGGAGGGGAGGCCACACAGCAAGGAGGAGGUGAAGGCAGGAUCUGAACCUACUCCCCGGCUUCCCCUGUGCUCUUGCCAGACAACCUCGCUCAUCUGGCCCUGAAAGGCCUGGAAACCAGCCCGGAAAGAGAAACCAGUCCCUACCUCAGCCUCUCCCAGUCCUUCCCAGACUGCAGACCUGGAGCAAGAUAAGACAGUUGAGGCUCACAAGAUGUCCAUCGACAGAUGAAUGGAUAAAGAAGAUGUGGUAUAUAUAUACAAUGGAAUAUUAUGCAGCCAUCAAAAGGAAUGAGAUCUUGCCAUUUGCAACGACGUGGAUGGAACUGGAGGGUGUUAGGCUGAGCGAAAUAAGUCAAACAGAGAAAGACGUGUAUCAUAUGACCUCACUGAUAUGAGGAAUUCUUGAUCUCAGGAAACAAACUGAGGGUUG